UACGUAGGGUGCAAGCGUUAAUCGGAAUUACUGGGCGUAAAGCGUGCGCAGGCGGCUUUGCAAGACAGAUGUGAAAUCCCCGGGCUUAACCUGGGAACUGCAUUUGUGACUGCAUGGCUGGAGUGCGGCAGAGGGGGAUGGAAUUCCGCGUGUAGCAGUGAAAUGCGUAGAUAUGCGGAGGAACACCGAUGGCGAAGGCGGCAUCCUGGACCGGCAUUGACGCUGAGGAGCGAAAGCUAGGGGAGCAAACGGG
rnacentral:rRNA from 1 species